UCAGGAUGAACGCUGGCGGCGUGCUUAACACAUUCAAGUCGAACGGUGAAGGGGGCUUCGGUUCCCGGAUCAGUGGCGGACGGGUGAGUAACGCGUGAAUAACCUGCCUGUGUGUGGGGGAUAACAGUUGGAAACGGCUGCUAAUACCGCAUAACGUACGGACACCGCAUGAUGACCGUACCAAAGAUUUAUUGCGCACAGAUGGAUUCGCGUCCGAUUAGAUAGUUGGUGAGGUAACGGCCCACCAAGUCGACGAUCGGUAGCCGGACUGAGAGGUCGAACGGCCACAUUGGAACUGAGACACGGUCCAGACUCCUACGGGAGGCAGCAGUGGGGAAUAUUGGGCAAUGGACGAAAGUCUGACCCAAGCGACGCCGCGUGAGGGAAGAAGAUCUUCGGAUUGUAAACCUUAGUCAACAGGGAAGAAGAAAGUGACGGUACCUGUGGAGGAAGCCACGGCUAACUACGUGCCAGCAGCUGC
rnacentral:rRNA from 1 species